rnacentral:lncRNA from 1 species
UUUUAUCGCCUCACUGUAUCAUGCAUAGGUAACUUCUAUAUUUUACAGUUGCUUCUAGAAAGAAAGAGGAACAGACUAUAGAGAGGCCUUUCCACUUAUAAUUAGAGUAACAGUCAAAUGCCUUGCAUACUUAGAUUUUCUGUGUAUGAGACAUACUGGAGUGGACCAUGGGAAUAGAGACUCCUAUUUAGAGCAAGGAGAAGGUAUGAGUACUCGGGGAACUGUGAAGCCCUCAGCAGAAAGGAACAAAGCUAAGAGCCUUGGAGGUGUUCUCCACCCUCCAGAACUGUGGCACCAUGGAGGCUGGUGCUCCAAACCUCAUAUUACCAUCGUAUUGGAUUGUGCCCCUGUGUCAGACCUGUAGUGAGUUGACUCUUUUUGUGGGGCUGGGAAAACACCCAUGCUGGUUGAAAGUAAGGGGGUAAUGGAGAGCCCUUGAAACAGGACAUUCAGUGAAAUAAGAGGGCUGACGAGCUCCAAACACAAGUUGAGUUUGAAAUAACUUCCACCACAAAGGCAGACACACGCUAGGACUGAGGUCAUAAUAAAGAAGUUUAUUUAAACCUGGAAGGAUCACUGUUUUGCCCAGCCUAAGAUGUUGGUUGCCAUCGUAUAACUCCUCCUUUCUAAUUAAAAAAGUGACAUUUCAGAACCAAAUAGUGCUAUACGUAUGCAUAGUCAGAACUUCACUAGUUUAUGUGCAGAGUAAUGAAAGCUAGUUUCUCCAAAAAAGUAAAUUUCAAAUUGUGUCUCCCUCUCUGACUGUAUUCUUUAUCAUCCUCUAGUUCACCCACUAAUGAAUUGACAACAGCAAACCCAGAGGCACGUAUCAAUGAAAGGUGAGUUAUAUUUAGAUAAAUAAAGACACACAUAUGCAUAACUGUGCAUAGAAGUAGUCACACACCCAGACACAUAAACAAAAUAUAUCCAUCCAUCCAUCCAUCCAUGCAUCCAUCCAUCCCCACUUCUCUGAACACACGUCCACUUACAAACCCAUGCACACAAUGGAAACAUACAAUAAGGAGACAGAUGGACGGACAUUUGUGGAGUUUAUUCUGAGAAGCCUGCAUGGCCACAGAGAGUGGUUUUUAACAGGGUCUGCAAUUCGUCUCAUGGUAGCCUUUGUAGGUAACAUUGCAUCAUUUCCUAAUGCAGUUGUAUACAAAGGAGCCAGUCCUAGGAGAGCUGCUGCUUCUUGUUAGUGUAUUUGUCACCCUAGUUCCUAGUAAGCA